rnacentral:lncRNA from 1 species
GUUGAAGCUGAUUGGUUCAGCUAGUGGGGUAGGCGCCCAAGGGUCUCCGGGCGGCCGCUCGGCACCCGUGCCUGUUUCACCUCCCAUUCGGUCUGGAGCCUCCUCGAACCAUCUGGAUUACAGAAAAGUUGACGUUCGCGGUGUUCUCUCUAUGUAAACCUAACAUGUGGACCAUCUAUGGUUGUUUUCAGCUGACACCCUGCAGAAACAUAUAUUCACCAAAACUCGUGGAAUUUUGUUAGUGAUAACCCUAUAUCUACUAGUUGUUUGCAUAUAGGUCCAUUUUCAUAUUUAGUUGACGGUUAAAAUUAGGAAUUAUCUACCGUCAACAAACUCUCCCAAGCUUACCUUUUGCUCGUCCCUAAGCAAAGAUGGACUCAGUAAUAGAUGAGGAGUUGCUACAAUGCUUUCACGCCUCAUAAGUACACAUACGUUCAAACAAGGACUUACCUCUGAAUUAGAGUGAACUAUUCUGACUCUAAGACUCACUCAUAUUACCAUUCACCAUGGGACUUAUAGCUAUCAAUUAGGUCUCGAGCAGUUGAAAGACAGAACAUUUAAGUCGAGCGCUAUGUUUCUCACCCUUUUGAUCAACUAUUAUUCUAGAGUUUUUGCAAUGUUUUCAAAUAAAACUCAGAGUUCCUUGUAUGACCCUUUCCAGUCUCUCAUAUGUGGUAUUUUUGGAUCCUCUCACAAGUGAGUAUGCCAUCUCUCUGCUCUCAGAAUAUGUGGUAUUUGUAGGACUAAGACAUAGUUGCCUUCUCUCUCUCACCCUACUUCUAAUUAGCUUAUGUGGAGCUCAUAGGUGGGAAAGACAAUUCAAACCUACUUGCAUAUUUUGCAUAAUUAAACCAUGGAUCAAGAGAAACUAAUUAUACAAUCAAGUCAUAUGCGCAUGUGAGUGCAGUGAAUGAAAUGAGUGAUGAGAAUAGUGAGGGGUGAUAACUGAUGGUGAAUAUCUAAUUCUAUAAUUGCUCCUUGAGGAUAACAUACCUCCCUAAUUUGAGAACAAGGACUUAACUAUCUUUCUUUUCUUUUAGAUUGGGACCUUUGUCCUCUUUCUUUCUUUCUUUUAAUUUUUUUCUUUUUUAAGAUUAGCUAUCCAUUUAAUCCACUGAUAACAAUAGGGAGUAUCAACUGAAAUAUCUGGAGCUUUAUUGGAUAAGUAGAAUAAGAUAUAAUGACUAUUUUUGGGUGUCUUCUCCCACUGUAGGAGAAUAAAAUUUUCUAAGUGGAUGACGAAUAUAAAUGUGGAUGGAUGAAUGCGCACUCCCAGGGUAGGAGCAACACAAGUGCGUGUCUCUAGGAUAGAAAUUGCAUAGAGUAUAGUGGGUAUAUGUGGGUGGUACUUUCAGGAACAAAAGUAGCACAAAGUGAAUGUGUAAUGGAUGUAAGUGUGGUUGCAUACUUCUGAGGACAGAAGUAGCUAAGAUCAAUGGAUGGAGAGCACAUAAUAUUGACUUUAACUACAUGACUAGUUCCUUAGGGUCUACAUAGCUUAAGGCCCUGUUUGGUUGAGCUGUAGAUUUUGAAAAAGCUGCUGUGAACUGUGGGCUGUGGAAAAGCUGAUGUGAGCCGAGAGCUGUGGGAAAAGCUGAAAACCGUUUGGUUAGAGCAGCUGUGAAACUAUAGGAUGUGUAGAAAUGUCUGUAAUGCCCCUAAAGGCCUAAGAGACUAUUUAUAUGCAAAUUACUUGUAAAUAAAUAUUGUACUCACUUAUUUGUAUGUAAAUGACAACUUUGGAAAGAAAAAAUAAAUUUGUUCCAAGCUUUUUAGAAGUUAAUGUGAUAAUGUCGAUACGAAUAUAAUAUUAGCAUUUUACAAAAGAUAAGGGCUCAUCCAAUCAUGUCAUCCCUCAACAUAACUAUAUCGCACUAAACAAAGCAUCGGCUAUUCUACUACGAAUGAUAUUCAUGGCAUCCUCAUUCUCCACAUCUUCAGUCUCAUCUUCCGGUGUUGUGUCAUCCUCUUCUACCAAGUAUUCAUCAUCAGCAUCACAUCUUUCAAACUCCUUAUCAUGUAAAUUGCUAUCACGAAUAAAAUUAUGCAAUGCCAAACAAGCAAGAAUGAUUUGCUUCUGAGUAUGAGUUGAGAAACUUGGUAUGCCCUUCAAAAUAUGCCACUUCUCCUUCAAUACUCCAAAGGCCCGCUCAAUGACAUUUCGAAGGGAUGAAUGAUUGAAAUUGAAGACCUCAUACUUCCCUUGGGGUGGUCCAGAACGGUUGCAAAAUUCUGGAAUAUGAUACGUGCUUCCUUUAAAAGGGGCCAGAUACCCUGUUCAGUUUGGAAAUCUAGAGUCUAAAAGAUAAUACUUCCUGAAAGGAUCAAGAUGCCCAAGAGGGGGGGGGUGAAUUGGGCUUCUCUAAAAAUUUAAGCAACCUAUAAGCUCCAAUUCAACCCCUUGUGCCUAGUGAGACCUAGAGAGCUACCGGAUAAAAGUUAUGCAACCUAGUUCCAAUCCUAUUCUAGCAUGGCAAUUCUAAGAAUGUAAAAGCACAAAGUAAAUGCUAGAAUGUAAAGGAGUAGUGGAAGAAAGUGCUCAGCGAUGUU